GUACAGUUUAUUUGUAGAGGAAAUCCUUUUGUUUUAUUUCUUGAAAGAAAUAAAAGAUUACGACAGAUAGAGGGAUUAGCU
rnacentral:sRNA from 1 species